rnacentral:rRNA from 1 species
AGCGAACGCUGGCGGCAGGCCUAACACAUGCAAGUCGAGCGCCCAGCAAUGGGAGCGGCAGACGGGAUAGUAACACGUGGGAACGUACCUUUCAGUUCGGAACAACCAAGGGAAACUUUGGCUAAUACCGAAUACGCCCGUAAGGGGAAAGAUUUAUCGCUGAAAGAUCGGCCCGCGUCUGAUUAGCUAGUUGGUGAGGUAAUGGCUCACCAAGGCGACGAUCAGUAGCUGGUCUGAGAGGAUGAUCAGCAUCACUGGGACUGAGACACGGCCCAGACUCCUACGGGAGGCAGCAGUGGGGAAUAUUGGACAAUGGGCGCAAGCCUGAUCCAGCCAUGCCGCGUGAGUGAUGAAGGCCUUAGGGUUGUAAAGCUCUUUCGUCAGGGAAGAUAAUGACGGUACCUGAAGAAGAAGCCCCGGCUAACUUCGUGCCAGCAGCCGCGGU